UAAACUAGGAUUAGAUACCCUAUUAUUAGAAAUAAUACAUUGUUAGUAAAUAAUAUUUAUGAAAACAAAAAAUCAUGGCGGUAUCUUAAGCUUUUCAGAGGAAUUUGCUCUUUAAUGGAUAAAACACCUAAAUCUUACUAAAAUUGGUUAAGACAGUUUGUAUACCACUAUUUAAGUAAUUAUUAAUUAUAAUUGCUGUAAAUUUUAAACAAAAAAAAAGUUAAGUCAAGGUGCAGCUUAAAUUUUAGGAUGAAGUGAAUUACAAUGCUUUUUAGAAAAUACAUUUUUUAAAAGAAAAUUAGGAUUUGAAAGUAAAAAUUUUAAUAGAAUGAUUAAUUGAAUUAAGCUCUGGGAUAUGUACAUAUCGCCCGUCACUCUUUA
rnacentral:rRNA from 1 species